UACGUAGGCGGUUUAUUAAGUCAGAUGUGAAAGCCCCGGGCUUAACCUGGGAACUGCAUUUGAUACUGGUAAACUAGAGUAUGGUAGAGGGGGUAGAAUUCCUAGUGUAGCGGUGAAAUGCGUAGAUAUUAGGAGGAAUACCAGUGGCGAAGGCGGCCCCCUCGGACCAAUACUGACGCUGAGGUACGAAAGCGUGGGUAGCGAACA
rnacentral:rRNA from 1 species